AGGACGAACGCUGGCGGCGUGCUUAACACAUGCAAGUCGAGCGGAAAGGCCCUUCGGGGUACUCGAGCGGCGAACGGGUGAGUAACACGUGAGUAAUCUGCCCCUAGCUCUGGGAUAGCUCCGGGAAACCGGGAUUAAUACUGGAUACGACCACCUUAGACAUCUUUUGUGGUGGAAAGAAUUUCGGCUAGGGAUGAGCUCGCGGCCUAUCAGCUUGUUGGUGGGGUAACGCCUACCAAGGCGACGACGGGUAGCUGGCCUGAGAGGGCGACCGGCCACACUGGGACUGAGACACGGCCCAGACUCCUACGGGAGGCAGCAGUGGGGAAUAUUGCGCAAUGGGCGAAAGCCUGACGCAGCGACGCCGCGUGGGGGAUGAAGGCCUUCGGGUUGUAACCCCUUUCAGCAGGGACGAAGCGAAAGUGACGGUACCUGCAGAAGAAGCGCCGGCUAACUACGUGCCAGCAGCCGC
rnacentral:rRNA from 1 species